UUGCCCUUCCCCGCGGCGGGGCCCCUCUCUGGCCCAGAUCCCUCCCAUGCUCUUUGUGCACCUUAUCACCACCUGGCUCUGACACUGUGGGGUGCCACCAGAGAGCACUGAGCGAGGGAGCUAGACAUCCGGGACCAGGAAGAGGAGCUCUCCUGAAAUCCAGCCUUCUGACCCCAAGAAGCCCUUGGGCCAAGCCCUAAGUUUCCAAUUGAAGUGUCCUUAACUGCUUGUUCCUUAUCAAGAAGACAUCUGCAAAGACUCGGCGUGGACUGGAUGGUCCCCUGGAAUGCUCCAGUUUAUUCACUCACAAAUGGCUAGGAAAUUUAAUGGGGGAGGGGACGUGUUGGGGGUCUCAACAAGUCUUUUGUACCCUAACAGCCUAGGAAGCUAGAAGAGGAAAUCAAUCGACUUAAGAAUCUAGAUCAUAGAAGUUGUUACGGUAAUAAUUUCACUGAUGAACAUCUGAAAUCCAACAUGGAAACCCAUGUUCAAAAACGGUGAAGUGAAGAAUCCAAGGAAGUUGAGGAAGCCUGGCUGAGAAGACUGUGCACAAGUCAACCAUAGGGCGGUAACGACAAGAAGAAUCCUGGGAUAAAAGCUGCUGUUAAUGAACACAGCAGUUCGAUCAUUUAAAAUAUGCAAACUUCACUUUUCCUGUCUGUUACCAUAAACCAGAGAGCCCUCAUCCAGUGGCUGAUGGAAGCAGAGACAGACAUCCACAGAUAUACACUGAAC